CAGCCGCCGCGGGAAUACGAAGGGGGCUAGCGUUGCUCGGAAUGACUGGGCGUAAAGGGCGCGUAGGCGGCGAUCAAAGUCAGGCGUGAAAUUCCUGGGCUCAACCUGGGGGCUGCGUUUGAUACUUGAUUGCUAGAGUGGGGAAGAGGGUCGUGGAAUUCCCAGCGUAGAGGUGAAAUUCGUAGAUAUUGGGAAGAACACCGGUGGCGAAGGCGGCGACCUGGUCCUUGACUGACGCUGAGGCGCGAAAGCGUGGGGAGCAAACAGGAUUAGAUACCCCCGUAGUCCCUGUCUCUUAUAC
rnacentral:rRNA from 1 species